UACGUAGGUGGCAAGCGUUGUCCGGAUUUAUUGGGCGUAAAGCGCCCGCAGGCGGCUUGAUAAGUUUCAGGUGAAAUCUCCCGGCUCAACCGGGAGGGUGCCUGGAAAACUAUCAGGCUUGAGUCAUGGAGAGGGAUGUGGAAUUCCCGGUGUAGUGGUGAAAUGCGUAGAUAUCGGGAGGAACACCAGUGGCGAAGGCGGCAUCCUGGCCAUGUACUGACGCUCAGGGGCGAAAGCGUGGGGAGCAAACCGGG
rnacentral:rRNA from 1 species